rnacentral:lncRNA from 1 species
GUACAUGCUAGUUAUUUGCUGAAUUUACUGCUUAUAAGUUUAAGGUAGAUAGGGUGUCUUCCUCCAUUUUGGAUUUUGAAAUACCAGAAAACAAGGUCUAGAUUUUAGAUAAAAUGUGCAAAUUUUGAGAUUAGUAGGUAAUUCAUGUGUAAGAUUUUUCAUUAUAAUAUAGAAAAUGCCAUGUUUUAUCAUAUUUAGGGUUGUAUUUUACCAAAAAAACAAAUACUUUUGUUUGAUUCAUUUUUUUCCAACUUUGCCAAAUAAGGGGAGACAACUCAAAUGCAAGGGCAGAUAAUUCAAAUAGUGUUACUUUUACAAUAGAAUAUGUUAGGAAUUUACCAAUUUUAUUAUGUAGCAAGAAAACGAGUCCGGUGACCCCAUUUUUUAUUCUUCUUAUCUGAAAAAAUAUUAUUGGAGCUAUCUUCUCAUAUUUUAUCUCAAAAUUCUAUUGUGUAGUUUUCGUUUAUGACUGAAAAUUGGGUUUUCCAUGCAUAAUCUAUACAAAAUCUGACAAUUUUGCACAAUCUGUAGUGUGAAAAUAAGUCCGGUGACCCAUUCUUUUUAUUAAUGUUCUUAAACAAGCAGGAUAUAAACUACAUUUUGGCAAAUUAUUAAGAAAUUCUAUGGAUUAUAAUUUAGACACCCCAUCUACCUUAAGUGAACUUUAUAUUUUCUUAAGCAAAUAAAUUCCUUGUUGACCAAUACACAUCUCUUCCGUAAAUCUAUCAGAAUAAGACAGUGUAUAUGUUCUACAUCAAAUAUGUGAUCUUAUGAGGGCUGUUCCAUUAUAAUGGAAGAGGUAGGUAGAGGAUUCUGAUAUACCCUAACACCCAAGAAACUUUCUUUGAGUAAUUUUUCAUACUUUUAGUCAUGUUAGUUGUACAAAUUUAUCAUGUUUAUACUGCUUUUAACCCAUGCUCAAAAAUAAUAUUUUCAUUUCUAUUCUCCCCCUCCCAUUUAACGAUAAAAACAUUUUCUGCUUUUUUUCAAAGGUUACCAGGGAUUCCUUAAUCAUGUGACAAAUUGUGUACGAACAUCCUGAUUGUAUAAAAUUUAUUUUCAUUUCUAUUCUCCCCUCCCAUUUAACAAUUAAAAACAUUUUCUGCUUUUUUUCAAAGGUUACCAGGGAUUCCUUAAUCAUGUGACAAAUUGUGUACGAACAUCCUGAUUGUAUAAAAUUUUCAUUUUCAUUUCUAUUCUCCCCCUCCCAUUUAACGAUAAAAACAUUUUCUGCUUUUUUCAAAGGUUACCAGGGAUUCCUUAAUCAUGUGACAAAUUGUGUACGAACAUCCUGAUCGUAUAAAAUUUUCAUUUUCAUUUCUAUUCUCACCCUCCCAUUUAACGAUAAAAAUAUUUUCUGCUUCUUUCAAAGGUUACCAAGGAAACCUUAAUCAUGGGACAAAUUAUAUACAAAUAUCCUGAUCUUAUUAGUUAUGCUAGUAAUAUAUUAGGUGUUUUUGUAUUUUUCCAUUAUUAGUGCUAGAAAAAGCAAAAAUUUGUAUUAUUACAGAGUUUGAUACUGAAAUGACACAAUUUGAAUCUCAUGCUUUCAGUAUAUGCUCACUUAAGAUAUUUUAUCAGACCAUUAUUAUGAACAGAAAUAAAUGCUGAAAAUAAACAUGAUCAAAGACUUAUGUUUUAUUUAUAAGAUUUAAGGUUGAUCUGAAACAAUUUUAUUUGGUUGAUGGAAGUUUUAUUAAGAUUCAAAUUCGUUUUUUGGCGUAAU